rnacentral:tRNA from 1 species
GCCCGCUUGGCCCAAUUGGCAGAGGCACUUGACUUAGAAUCAAGGGGUUGGGGGUUCGAAUCCCUCAGCGGGCA